rnacentral:rRNA from 1 species
AUGAGUGAUCAGGUCGGCAUCGACCUGGACGGCUUCCCACUCGACCAUGAGUUCCCGGACGACUACGGGCUAGAGAAAGAGGACGAGUGCGACAUCGAAGUGGAGCCUUUGUUCGAGGACGAGCUCGCCAACCAAGCCGCCGGUCCUAAGCCGAAGCGCAAGAGCAAGCACACGAAGGCAUACACGGCAGCCGAGGACAACCUUCUUUGCGAGUGUUGGCGAGACAUUGGACAAGACCCCAAGACGGGCACCGAGCAAAAACAUUCAACCUUUUGGAUUCGUGUCCACCGAGAGUCUCAUGAGCGCAAGAAGUUUCCGCCUUACCAAUUUGAGAGCACGCGCGGGUUCGAGAAGAUGCAGGCCGACAUGCUCAAGUUCGACGACAAGUGA